AGAGGGAGAGCUUGUUCCAGCAGACGGGCCCCAUCCGCUCCUCCCGUCCGAGGGUUGGGAAGAAGGGAUGGAGGCGAAGGGAACUCUCCCACCCCUCCGGGGCCCCGCGGGCGCGCUGCUUCCCAGAAAAUACGGUAAAAAGCCUUCAGCCUAAAAAUAUUUCUCCUUAGCAAGUAAACACAUAGAAGUCAACAACAGAUGGAGCAUCACAUGGAGCUACGCAGGAAAAGAUGGAAGGAAAACCCAUGGAGACAAUGUGAGACAUCCCCAAAAUGAAGCCAGAUGUGCUGCUCCAUCUGUAACCCAGUGCUGGAAGGAGGACUGAGACCUGCUGCAUUGCAAGCCUGGAGAAAGAUACCCACCUGGACUCCUUCCUCCCAGCUGCAUAAAGAAGCCCUGACAGCUUUUACCACCAUUGACACUUGCAGGAAGAAAAGUUGUUGACAGUUUAUGGGGGUCUGCUUUGGCUUUAGAUGAAGCAGAAGAGUGCACAUCACUUCUGCUACAGGCUGUGCUUAGCAGCGGAGCAAGGCAUUGCCUUAGCACCAGCAGCACUCUGAAUUCAGCUCCACACUCCAUGUUUUCCUUCACUAAGUCUAAUGAGGGCUGCAGGCUGCUAGGGAGGCACACAGCAGUAAAGACUGAAAACGGCACCCAGCUGCAACCUAUGCAACCCAGGAUCUGACUCCUGCUAAUCUGGCUUGUAUGAGGAUGCUCUUCCCAAUGUCUGAUUUAUCCUCGUACAGUAUGUAGUGUCAUUGUUUUUAUCAGAAUUCCAUAUCAUAACAUCAUGCCAUACAUUCUCUGUAUUUGGGCUGCUGGGGUUGUAGUUCCUGGUUUCCUUAUGGUGUGGUGUUAUUAUAUGGAAUACUGAUGGAUACCCUGGAUGUGCUCUGUAGGCAUAUUGGGACCCAGAGUGAAUGCCCACCCAAGGACCACAGACAAGUACACCCAUAAUAACUAGCUGGGGAAGCAGCACCAUUGGGUGUAUCAGCUGUGUGUAACCUCCAGCAGAGUCAUACAAGAAAUGCUUGGCCUGACCCAAAGCCCACUGGAGUAAAUAAGGAGGAUCAUUGCUUCCAGGAACAACGUGGAUGUGGUGCAAUCAGGGAGAAAGGCAAAAAAUAAAGCUGUGUAAGCAUCUGCCUAACAUU